rnacentral:rRNA from 1 species
CCUACGGGUGGCAGCAGUGGGGAAUAUUGGACAAUGGGCGAAAGCCUGAUCCAGCCAUGCCGCGUGUGUGAAGAAGGCCUUCGGGUUGUAAAGCACUUUCAGUGGGGAAGAAAGCCUUGGGGCUAAUACCCUCGAGGAAGGACAUCACCCACAGAAGAAGCACCGGCUAACUCCGUGCCAGCAGCCGCGGUAAUACGGAGGGUGCGAGCGUUAAUCGGAAUUACUGGACAUAAAGCGCGCGUAGGCGGUCUGAUAAGCCGGUUGUGAAAGCCCCGGGCUCAACCUGGGAACGGCAUCCGGAACUGUCAGGCUAGAGUGCAGGAGAGGAAGGUAGAAUUCCCGGUGUAGCGGUGAAAUGCGUAGAGAUCGGGAGGAAUACCAGUGGCGAAGGCGGCCUUCUGGACUGACACUGACGCUGAGGUGCGAAAGCGUGGGUAGCAAACAGGAUUAGAUACCCGUGUAUC